rnacentral:rRNA from 2 species
GGGUUGUGAGGUUAAGCGACUAAGCGUACACGGUGGAUGCCCUGGCAGUCAGAGGCGAUGAAGGGCGUGCUAAUCUGCGAUAAGCGCCGGUAAGGUGAUAUGAACCGUUAUAACCGGCGAUACCCGAAUGGGGAAACCCAGUGUGAUUCGUCACAC